rnacentral:rRNA from 1 species
UAGAGGAAGUAAAAGUCGUAACAAGGUUUCCGUAGGUGAACCUGCGGAAGGAUCAUUAUUGAAUUGAAAAGGGGGUGUGGUGGCAAGUUGGGGUUGUCGCUGGUUCACAUGAAAGUGAGCAUGUGCACACCUAAUUGCUGCUCACUUCGUUUCAUUUUUCCUCCUGUGCACUUUUUGUAGACAUUCAGGAAAUUAGGGGUUACUGACCUCUUGGCAGAUUGCGGUUUGCAAGUCUGGGUGUCUAUGUCCAUUUUUAAAUACACGUUUGCAUGUCUUAUAGAAUGAGAAAUGGGGCUUUGAAACCCUUUAAAUGAUAAAGUACAACUUUCAACAACGGAUCUCUUGGCUCUCGCAUCGAUGAAGAACGCAGCGAAAUGCGAUAAGUAAUGUGAAUUGCAGAAUUCAGUGAAUCAUCGAAUCUUUGAACGCAUCUUGCGCUCCUUGGUAUUCCGAGGAGCAUGCCUGUUUGAGUGUCAUUAAACAUCUCAAAAGGUCUCUUCUUGCAUAGAGGGAGAACUUUUGGACAUUGGGAGUUGCUGGUCACUGCUAUGUGAUGGGCUCUUCUGAAAAGCAUUAGUUGAGGAGAUUUGCACUCUCUCUGUUGGUGUGAUAGACUUAUCUACGCCAGGAGACAAGUGAGCCCUCUGCUGUCUAACUGUCCUUGGACAACAAUGACCAACUUGACCUCAAAUCAGGUAGGACUACCCGCUGAACUUAAGCAUAU